AAAAAGUGCUGAGGUUUUAUUGGAACAAUUAACAUUCUGACAAAAAUGUUUAUGAAUGUACUCUGUACUUUACUAAUACUGUCUUUUUUCAUUUAUAUCUAAAUUUCCCCUUCUAUUUAAUAACCAGUUUUGAUUUUUUAUAUGAAAUCUAUAACUUCUUAAUUCAUACAGAUUCUUCUCUUUUUCUCCUUAUUUCUUAGCUUAAAUUCAGUUUAAGUUUUAUUGGUAUCUUAAGCUUCAUGUGUAUUCUUACUCCUAAACACCAGCAGUUCUUCAGAAGCCUAAAAUCCAGCAUGGGAAUCACUAAAAUCCACUAACCUUAAGUGCUAUGGAUCACAUCAUACGAACUCAUCUCCCUAUGACCUAGUCAAACUACAGACAGCAAACUAUAGCUUUAAGUUUAAAUUCUAGCAUUUAAACCCUAAUUAGAAAUUUAUACGAAACACAAUUUUAUGUUCAAAUAUGGAAAUAAGCAACAUAAUUCCAAAACCCAAAAGUAUCCCAGCAUUCUGUAAAAA
rnacentral:lncRNA from 1 species